CAGUCGCCGCGGUAAUACGAAGGGGGCUAGCGUUGCUCGGAAUGACUGGGCGUAAAGGGCGCGUAGGCGGUUUGCACAGUCAGGUGUGAAAUUCCUGGGCUUAACCUGGGGGCUGCGUUUGAUACGUGCGGACUUGAGUGGGGAAGAGGGUCGUGGAAUUCCCAGUGUAGAGGUGAAAUUCGUAGAUAUUGGGAAGAACACCGGUGGCGAAGGCGGCGACCUGGUCCUUGACUGACGCUGAGGCGCGAAAGCGUGGGGAGCAAACAGGAUUAGAUACCCCCGUAGUCCCUGUCUCUUAUAC
rnacentral:rRNA from 1 species